CUUCCCUUACAGCUUCCAAAACCUGCACCACAAUUGGACAGAUGUUUGGGCUGUCUUCCCUGUGUGCAUCCUGUCUUCCCAGCGACAUAGCUCCCCAGGGGCCCUUUCUUAUACAUCUUCAUCCUCAGACUAGCCCAAGGGGUUGUGUUGGAGAGAAUAAAUGUGCUUCCAGAAUUUGGAAGAGGGGGCUAUGGAAACUGAAGUCACUGUAAGGAAAAAUGAGAAGGCCCCACAGCACUGGCCCCUCUUCAAGAAAGCAACCAUGAGCCAGGAAAAGGGCCUCCAUCAUAUCCAGUCUGCCUUGGUUUCCUAGAGCUAUGGGAGAGCAAAGGGCCUGAACCAGGUGGCUUCAAACAGAAGUUGUCUCCCCACUUCUGGAAGUUGGAAGUUUGAAUUAAGUUGUUGGCAGGCCUGUGCUGUCUUUAAACUAUGUUUGGGAUCCUCCCUUGCCUCUCUCUGGUUUCUAGUGGCUUGCUGCCUGUCUUUUGGUCAUCCUCAGCUUGUAGCUGCAUAAGACCUGCUCCCUACGUAGCUACCUUAACAUGGCUGUCUCUAAAGAACACUGGUCCUGUGGGAUUAGAGGACUACUCUACUCUAGUAUGACCUCAUCACAACUAAUUACACAUGCAAUGGCUCUAUUUCCACAUAAGGUCACAUUCUACAGUACUG